rnacentral:rRNA from 1 species
UACAGAGGUCCCAAGCGUUGUUCGGAUUCACUGGGCGUAAAGGGUGCGUAGGCGGUCGGGUAAGUCUGACGUGAAAUCUCCAAGCUCAACUUGGAAAUGGCGUCGGAUACUAUUCGGCUCGAGGAAUGGAGGGGAGACUGGAAUUCUCGGUGUAGCAGUGAAAUGCGUAGAUAUCGGGAGGAACACCGGUGGCGAAGGCGGCGACCUGGGUAGAUACUGACGCUGAGGCGCGAAAGCGUGGGGAGCAAACAGG